UGUUUCCUGAUUAAGUUUGGUACAUGCCAGAAGUAUUUUCAUUCUCCCUGUAGCCUUGAAACAUUUGGAUCUUGUUAAGCAGUAACCACCAUCUCUUACUACUAAAUGGACCAUUGGAUUACUUUAAUGACGGAAUAUUUUGAUCUUCGUUAAAAUCGUAAAAAAUCAUAUUUAUUUUUGGAGCAUUUAUAAAAAGUGAAGACAUGUCGACGAUACUCCAAUGUUUCAUAUUGAUGAUAAUAAUGUAUGGAAGUAUUCUUUCAAUGCCUUUCAAAGACGACAGAAGACACAACACUGCCUACAUUACAAAUGAAAAAGUGAAAAGACUUAUAAAUAGAAACAAGUUUAUAAGAGCGAGAAGGGCUUCUCCAGCAAUAUCAAGAAGCAUGGCACGUAUAGAGGAGUGCAUCAGGAAUCCGUAUCGCUGUCGGUAAGCAAUGCUUUUGAUGUCUCAUGCAUCAUUGUAUUAAAGUAUUGUCAUUGCUAUCAGGCGUUAUUGUCUAUGUCUAAAUAUAGUAUUGUCAUUGC